rnacentral:rRNA from 1 species
AUUGAACGCUGGCGGCAGGCCUAACACAUGCAAGUCGAACGGUAACAGGAAGAAGCUUGCUUCUUUGCUGACGAGUGGCGGACGGGUGAGUAAUGUCUGGGAAACUGCCUGAUGGAGGGGGAUAACUACUGGAAACGGUAGCUAAUACCGCAUAACGUCGCAAGACCAAAGAGGGGGACCUUCGGGCCUCUUGCCAUCGGAUGUGCCCAGAUGGGAUUAGCUUGUUGGUGGGGUAACGGCUCACCAAGGCGACGAUCCCUAGCUGGUCUGAGAGGAUGACCAGCCACACUGGAACUGAGGCACGGUCCAGACUCCUACGGGAGGCAGCAGUGGGGAAUAUUGCACAAUGGGCGCAAGCCUGAUGCAGCCAUGCCGCGUGUAUGAAGAAGGCCUUCGGGUUGUAAAGUACUUUCAGCGGGGAGGAAGGGAGUAAAGUUAAUACCUUUGCUCAUUGACGUUACCCGCAGAAGAAGCACCGGCUAACUCCGUG